AUUGAACGCUGGCGGCAUGCCUUACACAUGCAAGUCGAACGGCAGCACGGGAGCAAUCCUGGUGGCGAGUGGCGAACGGGUGAGUAAUGUAUCGGAACGUGCCCAGUCGUGGGGGAUAACGUAGCGAAAGCUACGCUAAUACCGCAUACGAUCUAUGGAUGAAAGCGGGGGAUCGCAAGACCUCGCGCGACUGGAGCGGCCGAUAUCAGAUGAGGUAGUUGGUGGGGUAAAGGCUCACCAAGCCGACGAUCUGUAGCUGGUCUGAGAGGACGACCAGCCACACUGGGACUGAGACACGGCCCAGACUCCUACGGGAGGCAGAAGUGGGGAAUUUUGGACAAUGGGCGCAAGCCUGAUCCAGCAAUGCCGCGUGCAGGAUGAAGGCCUUCGGGUUGUAAACUGCUUUUGUACGGAACGAAACGGUGAGCUCUAAUACAGUUUGCUAAUGACGGUACCGUAAGAAUAAGCACCGGCUAACUACGUGCCAGCAGCCGCGGUAA
rnacentral:rRNA from 1 species